CAGCAGCCGCGGGAAAACGUAGGGUGCGAGCGUUAAUCGGAAUUACUAGGCGUAAAGCGUGCGCAGGCGGUUUUGUAAGACAGAUGUGAAAUCCCCGGGCUUAACCUGGGAACUGCAUUUGUGACUGGCGAGCUAGAGUAUGGCAGAGGGGGGUAGAAUUCCACGUGUAGCAGUGAAAUGCGUAGAGAUGUGGAGGAAUACCGAUGGCGAAGGCAGCCCCCUGGGCCAAUACUGACGCUCAUGCACGAAAGCGUGGGGAGCAAACAGGAUUAGAUACCCGCGUAGUCCCUGUCUCUUAUAC
rnacentral:rRNA from 1 species